CAUGCACAAGACUUCUCACGUCCCAAAAUUUUUCUCCAAAAAUCUUCUUCUUGCACGCCCCACUCUUCUCCUCCUUUUAUAACAACGUCAAAAGUCUUAUCCAAAAGAAAGGAUAAAGAUGAGUAAUUGCACAUUUGAAUUCAAAUCAAAUUUUGAAUUCAAAUGGACACCAACUCAUCCCUUAUCCACUAAAGGCAUGAGGCAUGGCUUAAAUUAUGCAUGGAGUGAUUUCAUGAGAAACCUUUUCUCAUGUAAUAAAUGGGGCAUAAAAAAAGGGAUAAGGUGCAAAGAUUGAUUGCCCAUUCAAAUUCAAACUUUAUUUUGAAUUUGAAUGGCCAACCAAUCAUCCUUAUCCAUUCAUUUGACACAUUAAAGUGGGGCGU
rnacentral:lncRNA from 1 species